rnacentral:misc_RNA from 1 species
AAUUCUCAACUGCACUAGUUCUCUCUGGUGUAGCUUGGAUAAUGGGGGUUAUAAUUUUGCAGGCCCUUCUUUCAAUGGGUCAGCUCCCCUGAAAUGCAUUAGUGGUCUGAAACUACUACAGGUGUGAUAAUUAUCUAUGCCUCUGGUACUUUGUAUGGACUGCUUUCUAACCAAGUGACUUUCCUUGCAAAAAAGGAUUGCACAUUUUGACAC